AUUGAACGCUGGCGGCAUGCCUUACACAUGCAAGUCGAACGGCAGCACGGGAGCAAUCCUGGUGGCGAGUGGCGAACGGGUGAGUAAUAUAUCGGAACGUGCCCAGUCGUGGGGGAUAACGUAGCGAAAGCUACGCUAAUACCGCAUACGAUCUAUGGAUGAAAGCGGGGGAUCGCAAGACCUCGCGCGAUUGGAGCGGCCGAUAUCAGAUUAGGUAGUUGGUGAGGUAAAGGCUCACCAAGCCGACGAUCUGUAGCUGGUCUGAGAGGACGACCAGCCACACUGGGACUGAGACACGGCCCAGACUCCUACGGGAGGCAGCAGUGGGGAAUUUUGGACAAUGGACGCAAGUCUGAUCCAGCCAUUCCGCGUGCAGGAUGAAGGCCCUCGGGUUGUAAACUGCUUUUGUACGGAACGAAACGGUGAGCUCUAAUACAGUUUGCUAAUGACGGUACCGUAAGAAUAAGCACCGGCUAACUACGUG
rnacentral:rRNA from 1 species